GGAUGGAGUCAAAGGUGGCAAAGUGCUAUUGAGACCUGCAGGCCAGUUAUUUUAGUUAAUAAUCUGUGAGCCUUUUCCUCAGGACCAUCCACUCGUUUUCUGAACGACGGUGCCAGAGUGACUCAGAGGGAAGUGUGUAAGUGCUUAGAUUCCAGGGUUUUAUUGUACACCUUCUGUGGUCCGUGCUCCCAGGAACAGAGAUUCAAGCUCCACUGCGGUGCCUUCCUCAGUGAUGUCCUUUUGCAGUGAGAUCCUCAAGGGUAUUUUAAAAGGAGAGAGCAUAGAAUGACCUCAAGUCAGGCUUCACCCAGAGUCACCGUGAGUCAGCCCUGCCCAGCCCAGCCCAGCCCAGCCAACGGAGCAGAAAACAGGCAGGUGACCGAACCUAGGAGACUCCACCUGCCCAUAAGCAGGAGUUCCUGUCUAGUGGAAUCAAAAGCAAGAUACAGAAGUCACCCCUUCCCACAAGGCCAGACUUCAAAGGCGAUAUUGCCUCAGAUUCUUCAUGGACAUCCUCCUGCCUUGUUCCAAGGUGCUCAGAAAUGCGAUUAAUAAACCCAUUGAGGAGAGCAAGAGGAAAUCUCUUCUGUCCAAAGACCAUCUCUGCCGCUGGUAAUGUCAAUUGCUCAUAAUGCUGCACGAGCAUUUGUUAAUGACAUCAUCAUACAGUAAGUGAAUAAAUCUGUUCCAGCAAUCUCCUUU